AGAGUUUGAUCAUGGCUCAGGAUGAACGCUAGCGGGAGGCUUAACACAUGCAAGUCGAGGGGCAGCACGAGGUAGCAAUACUUUGGUGGCGACCGGCGCACGGGUGAGUAACGCGUAUGUAACCUACCUUGUACAGGGGGAUAGCCCGGAGAAAUUCGGAUUAAUACCCCAUAAAGAUAUUUUGGGGCAUCUUAAGAUAUUUAAAGUUUCGACGGUACGGGAUGGGCAUGCGUAACAUUAGCUAGUUGGUAGGGUAAUGGCCUACCAAGGCUACGAUGUUUAGGGGUCCUGAGAGGGUGAUCCCCCACACUGGUACUGAGACACGGACCAGACUCCUACGGGAGGCAGCAGUGAGGAAUAUUGGUCAAUGGGCGCAAGCCUGAACCAGCCAUCCCGCGUGCAGGAAGACGGCGCUAUGCGUUGUAAACUGCUUUUCCAGGGGAAGAAAACCCGCUACGAGUAGCGGCUUGCCGGUACCCUGGGAAUAAGCAUCGGCUAACUCCGUGCCAGCAGCCGCGGUAAUACGGAGGAUGCGAGCGUUAUCCGGAUUUAUUGGGUUUAAAGGGUGCGUAGGCGGAUUAAUAAGUCAGUGGUGAAAACCUGCAGCUUAACUGUAGAACUGCCAUUGAUACUGUUAGUCUUGAGUACGGUCAAGGUAGGCGGAAUGUGUAAUGUAGCGGCGAAAUGCUUAGAUAUUACACAGAACACCGAUUGCGAAGGCAGCUUACUGGGCCAUUACUGACGCUGAUGCACGAAAGCGUGGGGAGCGAACAGGAUUAGAUACCCUAGUAGUCC
rnacentral:rRNA from 1 species